rnacentral:snRNA from 1 species
AUUGUUGCAUUUACUAAAAUUACUGAAAUUGGUAUAGGUAUAGAGAUGAUUAGUGUGGCUCCCAUGCAAGGAUGAUAUGCAAAUUCAUGAAGUACUGUGCAUGUUC